rnacentral:rRNA from 1 species
UACGAAGGGGGCUAGCGUUGCUCGGAAUCACUGGGCGUAAAGGGUGCGUAGGCGGGUUUUUAAGUCAGGCGUGAAAUCUCGGAGCUUAACUCCGAAACUGCAUUCGAUACUGCCGUGCUUGAGGACUGGAGAGGAGACUGGAAUUUACGGUGUAGCGGUGAAAUGCGUAGAUAUCGUAAGGAAGACCAGUGGCGAAGGCGGGUCUCUGGACAGUUCCUGACGCUGAGGCACGAAGGCCAGGGGAGCAAACGGG